rnacentral:rRNA from 1 species
GACAGAGGGUGCAACGUUGUUCGGAAUUACUGGGCGUAAAGCGAGUGUAGGCGGUGUGGUAAGUCGGAUGUGAAAGCCCCGGGCUCAACCCGGGAAGUGCACUCGAUACUGCCACGCUAGAGUAUCGGAGAGGUUGGUGGAAUUCUCGGGUGUAGAGGUAGAAAUUCGUAGAUAUCAAAGAGGAAUAUCGGAGGCGAAGGCGGCCGACUGGCGAUG